AUACGUAGGUGGCGAGCGUUGUCCGGAAUUAUUGGGCGUAAAGCGCGCGCAGGCGGGAAAGUAAGUCCACUUUAAAAGUGCGGGGCUCAACCCCGUGAUGGGGUGGAAACUGCUUUUCUUGAGUGCCGGAGAGGAAAGCGGAAUUCCCAGUGUAGCGGUGAAAUGCGUAGAUAUUGGGAGGAACACCAGUGGCGAAGGCGGCUUUCUGGACGGUGUCUGACGCUGAGGCGACGAAAGCGUGGGGAGC
rnacentral:rRNA from 1 species